rnacentral:rRNA from 1 species
UACGGAGGAUCCGAGCGUUAUCCGGAUUUAUUGGGUUUAAAGGGAGCGUAGGUGGAUUGUUAAGUCAGCGGUAAAAUCGAGGGGCUCAACCCCUUUAAGCCGUUGAAACUGGUGAUCUUGAGUGGGCGAGAAGUAUGCGGAAUGCGUGGUGUAGCGGUGAAAUGCAUAGAUAUCGAGAGGAACACUCGUGGCGAAGGCGGGUUCCUGGACAUUAACUGACGCUGAGGCACGAAGGCCAGGGGAGCGAAAGGG